GUAUCCCUUCACAAACAACCAAGCUAUACCUCCAAUGGACUGGGAGCAAUAUCUUUCAGAAAUUGCAUCAGACAUAAUGAAAGAGCAGAGCCCUAAAAGGUUGUUUGAGGUUAGGGGAAAGUUAUAUGAGCUACUAAAAAAUUGUAUUCCACCUGAAAUUAUUUUGAAGAGGCUGCUUUUCGAACUAUUGAAGAAAUUGGAUUCAGAGUUGAAGCAUGAGGUGUCCCACUGGGCUGCUUAUUACGUAAGUUGUUGAGCUACAUAAUGUAGCA